rnacentral:rRNA from 1 species
CCGUAAUCCGCACUGAGAUGGACCCGCGGCGCAUUAGCUAGUUGUGAGGUAACGGCUCACCAAGGCCACGAUGCGUACCGACCUGAGAGGGUGAUCGGCACAUUGGAACUGAGAUACGGUCCAGACUCCUACGGGAGGCAGCAGUGGGGAAUAUUGCACAAUGGGCGAAAGCCUGAUGCAGCAACGCCGCGUGAGUGAUGAAGCCUUCGGGUUGUAAAGCUCUGUCUUUGGGGACGAUAAUGACGGUACCCGAGGAGGAAGCCACGGCUAACUACGUGCCAGCAGCCGCGGUAAUACGUAGGUGGCAAGCGUUGUCCGGAUUUACUGGGCGUAAAGGAUGCGUAGGUGGAUAUGCAAGUCAGAUGUGAAAUACCCGGGCUUAACUCGGGUGCUGCAUUUGAAACUAUAUAUCUAGAGUGCAGGAGAGGUAAGUGGAAUUCCUAGUGUAGCGGUGAAUGCGUAGAGAUUAGGAAGAACACCAGUGGCGAAGGCGACUUACUGGCUGUAACUGACACUGAGGCAUGAAAGCGUGGGGAGCAAACAGGAUUAGAUACCCUGGUAGUCCACGCCGUAAACGAUGGGUACUAGGUGUAGGGGGUAUCGACUCCCUCUGUGCCGCAGUUAACACAAUAAGUACCCCGCCUGGGGAGUACGGUCGCAAGAUUAAAACUCAAAGGAAUUGACGGGGACCCGCACAAGCAGCGGAGCAUGUGGUUUAAUUCGAAGCAACGCGAAGAACCUUACCUAGACUUGACAUCCCCGCAUAACCUAGAGAUAGGCGAAGUCCUUCGGGACAGGGUGACAGGUGGUGCUGGUUGUCGUCAGCUCGUGUCGUGAGAUGUUGGGUUAAGUCCCGCAACGAGCGCAACCCUUAUCAUUAGUUGCUACCAUUAGUUGAGCACUCUAAUGAGACUGCCCGGGUUAACCGGGGGAAGGUGGGGAUGACGUCAAAUCAUCAUGCCCCUUAUGUCUAGGGCUACACACGUGCUACAA